GGCCCCUUACCGGGGUUGCGGACAGUGUCUGGUGGGUAGUUUGACUGGGGCGGUCUCCUCCCAAAGCGUAACGGAGGAGCACGAAGGUUAGCUAAUCCUGGUCGGACAUCAGGAGGUUAGUGCAAUGGCAUAAGCUAGCUUGACUGCGAGCGUGACGGCGCGAGCAGGUGCGAAAGCAGGUCAUAGUGAUCCGGUGGUUCUGAAUGGAAGGGCCAUCGCUCAACGGAUAAAAGGUACUCCGGGGAUAACAGGCUGAUACCGCCCAAGAGUUCAUAUCGACGGCGGUGUUUGGCACCUCGAUGUCGGCUCAUCACAUCCUGGGGCUGAAGUAGGUCCCAAGGGUAUGGCUGUUCGCCAUUUAAAGUGGUACGCGAGCUGGGUUUAGAACGUCGUGAGACAGUUCGGUCCCUAUCUGCCGUGGGCGCUGGAGAAUUGAGGGGGGCUGCUCCUAGUACGAGAGGACCGGAGUGGACGCAUCACUGGUGUUCGGGUUGUCAUGCCAAUGGCACUGCCCGGUAGCUAAAUGCGGAAGAGAUAAGUGCUGAAAGCAUCUAAGCACGAAACUUGCCCCGAGAUGAGUUCUCCCUGAGACUUUAAGUCUCCUGAAGGAACGUUAAAGACGAUGACGUUGAUAGGCCGGGUGUGUAAGCGCAGCGAUGCGUUGAGCUAACCGGUACUAAUGAACCGUGAGGCUUAACCUU
rnacentral:rRNA from 1 species